AGGGCUUUUAUUCGGAGCACAGCAGCAGCGCCGGAGAGCAAAGAAAACGACAGGAAAGAGGGAAAGAAAGGAAAAAAUGGAGAGAUAAAGGAAAAAAAUAAAAAUAAAAUAAAGAUUCGGUUAUUGUUCGCAUUUGGCUUUCGGCAACGUGAAAAAAAGAGCUGCACGUUUAACUUUUAGAAAUGUACACGACGAUUUGUGUUGACGUUGUAUUUAAAAAAAAAUGUUGAUUUUUGUGAAGGGAUCGAAAGUUGACAAUAAAAAGGCUGUGCUUUAUAUAACACAGUGUUUAUAUGGCGCAUUAUUGUAGUAUCUUUACCGUAUAGCUAAUGUCUUACCUAAGAAAAUAUUUUCAAUUAUUUUGUGAAUAUUUCAGGAGCUGAAUCUUUUAUAUCAAAAGACAGUAAGCUGAAGAUAAACCUAGGAUCCUUCCCUGAAUCUGGCUUUUAAUCUUCUCGCUAUUGCUUUCAUUUCGAGACCUUGUUUGCUUGCAGUGCAGUGUUUCAGCUCUUAAUUUAGUGCAUACUGGAGAACUGCACAUCCCGCAGUCAGCUCUGCUAGCUCUGCCGUCUGUCUGCUCGGACUGUGUGAUGGAAGUAAAACCUCUCUGAUUUGCCCCCCGAUUUGCCCCUGGCCGGAGGGGAGCCCUCGGCUACCCCAGCUGCUCCACCAGCCAUAUGGAGCUAUUCAUCAUAGAGCUAUUAAUCAGCAGAUUUACAUCAACACCGACUCAGCAACAAUAUAAACCUUUCAUGAUGUUCAGAACCAGCUCUCUGAAGGCCCUGGGCGUCAUGUCUCUUUGACCUCCCUAUUGAACACGCUCGCCCCUCAUCAUUAUCCUCAUUCUGCCUGCGGACUCCUUCGCUCGUGCCUCCUUCUCCCCAAAGCACUGAGAUCUUUACCCAAGCAGCUGUGGGAUGCUGACGCAGUUAUAAACCACAUGGAACACAGAGCAAAGCAGGAAAAAGGAAAGAAACUGGAGUCAGUCCAUUGUCCAGUGAACAUUCUUGUUCGUGGUGAAAAUAAGCUACGAAAAUGGACAGUUUUCUGUUGCUAAAAAUGCUUUUUUUUAUUCUUGAGGAGACUGAGGAAGAGGAGAGACUGCAGUGUGUCAGAUGGACGUGUGGCUCAGUGUCAUAUUAACAAAGAAAAUGACCAAGACUGUUUACCAGUUUACACCUUAGGCUCGAAUGUGCACUUUUUGUGCACCUAAAAAAAAAACCCGGUCUGUUUCCAUAUAUGGAAAUUAGAGCUUCUAAUUGGGGAUGGCUUCAUGACCUUAUAUGGCAAUGUGGGCUUGUUGUUCAGGCCAGAUAUUAAAAAAGAAGGGACAUCUCUGCCACGUGUG